rnacentral:lncRNA from 1 species
AUGUCCCAAACAGAACUCACUGAAAGUGUCUUCCUGUUUUCUGGCUUGCUGCUGCUGGGAAAUGGGAUCAGCACUGCCUGUACCUGGUGCUCUGGUUGUGAGGAGAGCUCUGACAAGGACCGGAAAAGCUUUCUAAGCUGGAGUUGCUCUGGCCCGGUGUUCCAUGGGUGGAUUCCCUUCCUGGGAAAGGAAUCAGAGGAUAUCAAGCAGAGACACCAGCUGCUAGAACAAGAGAAGGAACCCAGAGGCAAGUGGAAAUCCACUGUGCUGAGUGCUGUAAGGACAGCUAGAGACAGGCCCUGUCCCAGGCAGCAGAAGAAACAGCAGCAAGCUUCUAAAAGGAAGUGAAGAAGGAAGAUCACACGGCACUGUACUGCAAGUCCUCCUCUUCCUAAACCUGGGGCUCCACUGAGCAAUUCAAGCUUCAGAGAGAUACACAGAUCUCAAAGACAGCAAAUUCCCAUACAUUUUGUGAAAACUGAUUGCGGGAGAUGGAUCGAAAUGAGUGCUCCCACUAAGGAAAAGCCAGUUGCAGAUCAGCCAGUUGGCCAAUCACCAUGGAUAUAAUGAACAGGCAAUCGGCACACGCUUAUUUCAGCAGCGGCAUAUGUUGCCACGUUCUCAGCCAAACUGGCAAAAGACAUGAGAAGGAGCUGGAAGAAGUACUUGAGCACUGAGAAUGGGAAGGACUAUGGAAUGUGGGAGACAAAAAUAGUUUUAAAAAACUUCAUUAGUUCCGCUGCUCACAGAACAACUUAGCUUUGGUAUCUUAAAACUGCAGAUUUCUCCUUGAAUAAAGGAAUGUGUGAAUCUCUUAUGGGAAAGACU